rnacentral:rRNA from 1 species
AGCGAAAGCGUGGGGAGCGAACAGGAUUAGAUACCCUGGUAGUCCACGCCGUAAACGAUGAGUGCUAAGUGUUAGGGGGUUUCCGCCCCUUAGUGCUGCAGCUAACGCAUUAAGCACUCCGCCUGGGGAGUACGGUCGCAAGACUGAAACUCAAAGGAAUUGACGGGGGCCCGCACAAGCGGUGGAGCAUGUGGUUUAAUUCGAAGCAACGCGAAGAACCUUACCAGGUCUUGACAUCCUCUGACAAUCCUAGAGAUAGGACGUCCCCUUCGGGGGCAGAGUGACAGGUGGUGCAUGGUUGUCGUCAGCUCGUGUCGUGAGAUGUUGGGUUAAGUCCCGCAACGAGCGCAACCCUUGAUCUUAGUUGCCAGCAUUCAGUUGGGCACUCUAAGGUGACUGCCGGUGACAAACCGGAGGAAGGUGGGGAUGACGUCAAAUCAUCAUGCCCCUUAUGACCUGGGCUACACACGUGCUACAAUGGACAGAACAAAGGGCAGCGAAACCGCGAGGUUAAGCCAAUCCCACAAAUCUGUUNUCAGUUCGGAUCGCAGUCUGCAACUCGNCUGCGUGAAGCUGGAAUCGCUAGUAAUCGCGGAUCAGC